rnacentral:rRNA from 1 species
UAGGAACCUGCCUGGUAGUGGGGGAUAACGUUCCGAAAGGAACGCUAAUACCGCGUACGUCCUACGGGAGAAAGCAGGGGACCUUCGGGCCUUGCGCUAUCAGAUGAGCCUAGGUCGGAUUAGCUAGUUGGUGAGGUAAUGGCUCACCAAGGCGACGAUCCGUAACUGGUCUGAGAGGAUGAUCAGUCACACUGGAACUGAGACACGGUCCAGACUCCUACGGGAGGCAGCAGUGGGGAAUAUUGGACAAUGGGCGAAAGCCUGAUCCAGCCAUGCCGCGUGUGUGAAGAAGGUCUUCGGAUUGUAAAGCACUUUAAGUUGGGAGGAAGGGCAUUAACCUAAUACGUUAGUGUUUUGACGUUACCGACAGAAUAAGCAC